AUGACUGUUACCUCUACCUCCUUCCACAAACAUAAUGCUACGUCUUCCCCCCAUUACAGAACUGCCUUCAAAUCCUUCCACCACCAGUUUGCUGCUUUCAAAUCCUUCCACCAAAACCAUGCUGCUUCCUUCUACCACAGCUGUGCUGUUUCCAAGCCAAACCUUUUCAAAUAAACCAUUUUUACAAUGUCUCAGUAUGAAAG